AUUGAACGCUGGCGGCAGGCCUAACACAUGCAAGUCGAGCGGAUGAAGGGAGCUUGCUCCUGGAUUCAGCGGCGGACGGGUGAGUAAUGCCUAGGAAUCUGCCUGGUAGUGGGGGAUAACGUCCGGAAACGGGCGCUAAUACCGCAUACGUCCUGAGGGAGAAAGUGGGGGAUCUUCGGACCUCACGCUAUCAGAUGAGCCUAGGUCGGAUUAGCUAGUUGGUGGGGUAAAGGCCUACCAAGGCGACGAUCCGUAACUGGUCUGAGAGGAUGAUCAGUCACACUGGAACUGAGACACGGUCCAGACUCCUACGGGAGGCAGCAGUGGGGAAUAUUGGACAAUGGGCGAAAGCCUGAUCCAGCCAUGCCGCGUGUGUGAAGAAGGUCUUCGGAUUGUAAAGCACUUUAAGUUGGGAGGAAGGGCAGUAAGUUAAUACCCUGCUGUUUUGACGUUACCGACAGAAUAAGCACCGGCUAACUUCGUG
rnacentral:rRNA from 1 species